rnacentral:rRNA from 1 species
CGCGUACGCAAUCUACCUUAUACAGAGGGAUAGCCCCGGGAAACUGGGAUUAAUACCUCAUGGUCCGUAAUGAUGGCAUCAUCAUAGCGGUAAAGUUCCGACGGUAUAAGAUGAGCGUGCGUACUAUUAGCUAGUUGGUGAGGUAACGGCUCACCAAGGCGAUGAUAGUUAGGGGGCGUGAGAGCGUGAUCCCCCACACGGGUACUGAGACACGGACCCGACUCCUACGGGAGGCAGCAGUAAGGAAUAUUGGACAAUGGAGGCAACUCUGAUCCAGCCAUCCCGCGUGCAGGAUGACGG